GCCGGGAUAGCUCAGUNGGUA
rnacentral:tRNA from 2 species